GAGUAACGCGUGGAUAACCUACCCUUGAGUUGGGGACAACAUUCCGAAAGGAGUGCUAAUACCGAAUGUGGUAACUCCGUGCAAACGGAGCUCACUAAAGACGGGGAUUCGUUCGGAACCUGUCGCUCAAGGAGGGGUCCGCGUCCCAUCAGCUUGUUGGUAAGGUAAUGGCUUACCAAGGCAUACGGGUAGCCGGCCUGAGAGGGUGAUCGGCCACACUGGGACUGAGACACUGCCCAG
rnacentral:rRNA from 1 species